rnacentral:misc_RNA from 1 species
GUGAAUCAUCAAAUUUUUGAACGCAAAUUGCGCUUCCUAGCAUCCCGGGCAGUAUGCCUGUUUGAGGGUCAGUAUUAAUAAAAAAAUCGGUUUGGUUGCAAAUUGUGACGUUUUCGGUGUUUGGGAUAUCUUAACUUUUUUGGAUAAGGGGCUUAAAAUUGACCUUUUUGUGCCUUUUUAGACGUACA